CACGUAGGGUGCGAGCGUUGUCCGGAAUUAUUGGGCGUAAAGAGCUCGUAGGCGGUGUGUCGCGUCGGCCGUGAAAACCUGCAGCUUAACUGUGGGCUUGCGGUCGAUACGGGCAUCACGUGGAGUUCGGCAGGGGAGACUGGAAUUCCUGGUGUAGCGGUGAAAUGCGCAGAUAUCAGGAGGAACACCGGUGGCGAAGGCGGGUCUCUGGGCC
rnacentral:rRNA from 1 species